GACGUAGGGCGCGAGCGUUGUCCGGAUUUAUUGGGCGUAAAGAGCUCGUAGGCGGCUUGUCGCGUCGAAUGUGAAAACUCGGGGCUCAACCCCGCGCUUGCAUUCGAUACGGGCAGGCUCGAGUUCGGUAGGGGAGACUGGAAUUCCUGGUGUAGCGGUGAAAUGCGUAGAUAUCAGGAGGAACACCGAUGGCGAAGGCAGGUCUCUGGGCAUUAACUGACGCUGAGGAGCGAAAGCAUGGGGAGCGAACAGG
rnacentral:rRNA from 1 species